CCUACGGGUGGCAGCAGUGGGGAAUAUUGGACAAUGGGCGAAAGCCUGAUCCAGCCAUGCCGCGUGUGUGAAGAAGGCCUUCGGGUUGUAAAGCACUUUCAGUGGGGAAGAAAGCCUUGGGGCUAAUACCCUCGAGGAAGGACAUCACCCACAGAAGAAGCACCGGCUAACUCCGUGCCAGCAGCCGCGGUAAUACGGAGGGUGCGAGCGUUAAUCGGAAUUACUGGGCGUAAAGCGCGCGUAGGCGGUCUGAUAAGCCGGUUGUGAAAGCCCCGGGCUCAACCUGGGAACGGCAUCCGGAACUGUCAGGCUAGAGUGCAGGAGAGGAAGGUAGAAUUCCCGGUGUAGCGAUGAAAUGCGUAGAGAUCGGGAGGAAUACCAGUGGCGAAGGCGGCCUUCUGGACUGACACUGACGCUGAGGUGCGAAAGCGUGGGUAGCAAACAGGAUUAGAUACCCUGGUAGUC
rnacentral:rRNA from 1 species